GCCCAACAGUGGUAUACAAAAGUCUCGUGGUCUCAAAAGUCUCCUUUCUCUUUAUUUGUUUUCCCUACACAAAAUAUCACUUUUUUCUUUUCCAAACAACUCUGGUUUGGCAAAAUUUAAUUGCCUGUUUGGGAUGAGGUCCCUGAAGCUCUCACAAGUUAAUUAUUUCUUUCUGGACCAGAAACUUUGAACUGUACUCGUGAGAUAAAUGGUCUGGUAACACUUUGCAACUUCAAGGUAUUUAAGUUACUGAGCAGCUCAUCAACUUUCUCCUUGCACUUGGAAUGGACUCUGGAAGAGAACUGGACCCCAGACAUCAUGAGUAGGCUGAGAAAGUAGGAUCUAUAGAUUUAGUUCAGAGCAAAGUAUAUUCCCAGAGAUAGAACCUCUGGUGAUGGCUUCCAGGUUUCCAGGCAUUUGGGAGUUUGAGAAGCUGGAAAGGCUUUUGAAAUCUCAUCAGGAGAGUUUUCAGGAAGAUUGUCAGCGUUCCAAACCUGACAACUGUUAGAAAAUUGAUAUUUUCGGCAGUCUCAUUCUGCUCCAUCUACUGGUACUUGAGAGGAACCUCCAAUGGUUCCAUAUACAUGCAAGACAACUGGCAGCUGGAGUAAUUAUUGCCUUGAUCCUGAGAGGGGAAAGAUUGAAGGCAGGAGGAGAAGGGGACAACAGAGGAAUAGAUGGUUGGAUAGCAUCACUGACUCGAUGGACAUGAGUCUGAGCAAGCUCGGGGAGCUGGUGAUGGACAGAGAAGCCUGGUGUGCUGCAGUCCAUGGGGUUGCAGAGUCAGACAUGACUGAGUGAACUGAACUGAGAGGGGAAAUAAGGUAUAUGGCAGCACAUUACAGUAUACAUGUAUUAAUAGAAUGACCUGGUUUAUUCCACCUUAAACACCCUUUCCCCCAAUCUUCAUUCACGUCCAAUCCCUCUAGCAUCAUACUCUGUUCUAAUUCCUCAUUAUUUAGUUCUGAGCACUUCCACAUCAAAUCUCAGAUAUUCUUGAUUAAUUAGGAAAUAUGGAGACGGUGUUGACCUCAUUAUGCUCAGAAACCUCAGUAGCAUAGAUAGAAUACCUCAAGCUAACCUAAGUUACUCAAGAUGGGUGUCUACCGAGGCGCUACCCCUAGAAGUUCUCCAUAUGAGUUUGGUGUGAAUCUAGUAAUCCAUGUCCACAGGAGCCAGAAUGUUUAGGUUGUAGAGUUCUCAGACUUGCCCGGAUUCAAUGAGGUGCUUACCCACAGCACCCUAAAACAAAGCACUGAAGAAGAGUUUAAACUAUCUCCAAUGAAGGAAGUUGGAGGUCAGAGCCAGAAAAGGAGCACCCAUCAAGUCUGAGGGAUAAGGCAAGGUCUUAAACAUUAAAAAACAACAACAACAACAAAAACACAAGGCAAUAUUUUCUUACAUUAAUCUGUCUAGGUAGCCAGCCGGCCACCUAUACCAUUGGGAAAUUCUCUACAUUAAAUGUGUACUUUUCAUUUAGAAUUUGUACACAGAAUAGCAUAAGGAAGUGGUGGUCCAAAGAGCAGGGCACUUAACCAGGAAUCUAGAGAAAAAAUGUCUAAAGAAACUCAACUCUGUCACUUACUCAUAUCACAUACAAUAAAUCACUUAACCUAACUGAGACUCA
ensembl:lncRNA